GACGAACGCUGGCGGCGUGCUUAACACAUGCAAGUCGAACGGAAAGGCCCUGCUUUUGUGGGGUGCUCGAGUGGCGAACGGGUGAGUAACACGUGAGUAACCUGCCCUUGACUUUGGGAUAACUUCAGGAAACUGGGGCUAAUACCGGAUAGGAGCUCCUGCUGCAUGGUGGGGGUUGGAAAGUUUCGGCGGUUGGGGAUGGACUCGCGGCUUAUCAGCUUGUUGGUGGGGUAGUGGCUUACCAAGGCUUUGACGGGUAGCCGGCCUGAGAGGGUGACCGGCCACAUUGCGACUGAGAUACGGCCCAGCCUCCUACGGGACGCAGCAGUGGGGAAUAUUGCAGAAUGGGCGGAAGCGUGAUGAAGCAACGCCGCGUGCGGGAUAACGGCCUUCGGGUGGUAAACCGCUUUCGCCUGUGACGAAGCGUGAGUGACGGUAAUGGGUAAAGAAGCACCGGCUAACUACGUG
rnacentral:rRNA from 1 species